rnacentral:rRNA from 1 species
UCGCCUGUUUAUCAAAAACAUCGCCUCUUGCAAAACUCAAAAAUAAGAGGUCCCGCCUGCCCUGUGACUAUUUGUUUAACGGCCGCGGUAUUUUGACCGUGCGAAGGUAGCGCAAUCACUUGUCUUUUAAAUGGAGACCCGUAUGAAUGGCAUAACGAGGGCUUAACUGUCUCCUCUUUCAAGUCAAUGAAAUUGAUCUCCCCGUGCAGAAGCGGGGAUAAAAACAUAAGACGAGAAGACCCUAUGGAGCUUUAGACACUAAGACAGCCCACGUUAAAGACCCUAAAAUAAAGGACUAAACCAGGUGGGCCCUGCCCUAAUGUCUUUGGUUGGGGCGACCGCGGGGAAUUAAAGAACCCCCACGUGGAACGGGAACACUCUUCCUACAACUAAGAGCCACAGCUCUAGCAAACAGAACUUCUGACCAACAAGAUCCGGCAAUGCCGAUCAACGGACCGAKUUACCCUAGGGAUAACAGCGCAAUCCUCUUUUAGAGCCCAUAUCGACAAGGGGGUUUACGACCUCGAUGUUGGAUCAGGACAUCCUAAUGGUGCAGCCGCUAUUAAGGGUUCGUUUGUUCAACGAUUAAAGUCCUACGUGAUCUGAGUUCAGAC